rnacentral:rRNA from 1 species
GUCCUUUUGAAUUAAAUUUAAGGUCUAACCUGCCCACUGAAAUUUUAAAUGGCCGCAGUAAUUUGACUGUGCAAAGGUAGCAUAAUCAUUAGUUUUUUAAUUAAAAGCUUGUAUGAAGGGUUGGACGAGGUAAAAUCUGUCUCUAUUUAAUUUAAAUUAGAAUUUAAUUUUUAAGUUAAAAAGCUUAAAUUUAAUUAAAAGACGAGAAGACCCUAUAGAUCUUUAUAUUAUUUAUAAUAAUUUUAAUUAAGAAUUUUUUAUUUUUUAUUAUAAAUACUUAUUUUAUUGGGGUAAUAAAAAGAUUUAAUAAAUUCUUUUAUAUAUAAACAUUGAUUUAUGAUUAUAUGACCAAUUUUUUUGAUUAAAAGAUUAAGUUACCUUAGGGAUAACAGCGUAAUUUUUUUAAAGAGUUCAUAUCGAUAAAAAAGUUUGCGA